rnacentral:rRNA from 1 species
GAUGAACGCUAGCGGUGUGCUUAAUGCAUGCAAGUCGAACGGGAUCCUUUGGAUUCGUCUGAAGGUGAGAGUGGCGGACGGGUGAGUAACGCGUUGGUGACCUGCCCCAGAGAGGGGGACAACCAGUGGAAACGCUGGCUAAUACCCCGGAUGUUAAGGUUUUUAGAAAGCCUUGACUAAAGCUACGGCGCUCUGGGAGGGGCCUGCGUUCCAUCAGCUUGUUGGUGAGGUAAUGGCUUACCAAGGCUAAGACGGAUAGGGGACGUGAGAGCGUGACCCCCCACACUGGUACUGAAACACGGACCAGAUACCUACGGGUAGCAGCAGCAAGGAAUAUUGCCCAAUGGACGAAAGUCUGAGGCAGCAACACCGCGUGGAGGACGAAAGCCUUCGGGUUGUAAACUCCUUUUCUGGGGGAAGAGAAUGGACGGUACCCCAGGAAUAAGGCCCGGCUAACUACGUGCCAGCAGCCGCGGUAAAACGUAGGGGUCAGGCGUUAUCCGGAUUUACUGGGCGUAAAGAGCAUGUAGGCGGUUGCUUAAGUCGGACGUGAAAGCUCCUGGCUCAACUAGGGGAUGCCGUUCGAAACUA